rnacentral:tRNA from 1 species
GCAGUGAUGGUUCAGUGGUAGAAUUCUUGGCUUCCAUCUGGGAGACCUGGAUUUGACUCCCAGGCAAUGUA